UACAGGCUUAACACAUGCAAGUCGAGGGGAAACGACAUCGAAAGCUUGCUUUUGAUGGGCGUCGACCGGCGCACGGGUGAGUAACGCGUAUCCAACCUGCCCAUCACUUGGGGAUAACCUUGCGAAAGUAAGACUAAUACCCAAUGACGUCUCUAGAAGACAUCUGAAAGGGAUUAAAGAUUUAUCGGUGAUGGAUGGGGAUGCGUCUGAUUAGCUUGUUGGCGGGGUAACGGCCCACCAAGGCGACGAUCAGUAGGGGUUCUGAGAGGAAGGUCCCCCACAUUGGAACUGAGACACGGUCCAAACUCCUACGGGAGGCAGCAGUGAGGAAUAUUGGUCAAUGGGCGAGAGCCUGAACCAGCCGAGUAGCGUGCAGGAUGACGGCCCUAUGGGUUGUAAACUGCUUUUAUAAGGGAAUAAAGUGAGUCUCGUGAGACUUUUUGCAUGUACCUUAUGAAUAAGGACCGGCUAAUUCCGUGCCAGCAGCCGCGGUAAUACGGAAGGUCCGGGCGUUAUCCGGAUUUAUUGGGUUUAAAGGGAGCGUAGGCCGGAGAUUAAGCGUGUUGUGAAAUGUAGACGCUCAACGUCUGCACUGCAGCGCGAACUGGUUUCCUUGAGUACGCACAAAGUGGGCGGAAUUCGUGGUGUAGCGGUGAAAUGCUUAGAUAUCACGAAGAACUCCGAUUGCGAAGGCAGCUCACUGGAGCGCAACUGACGCUGAAGCUCGAAAGUGCGGGUAUCGAACAGGAUUAGAUACCCUGGUAGUCCGCACGGUAAACGAUGGAUGCCCGCUGUUGGUCUGAAUAGGUCAGCGGCCAAGCGAAAGCAUUAAGCAUCCCACCUGGGGAGUACGCCGGCAACGGUGAAACUCAAAGGAAUUGACGGGGGCCCGCACAAGCGGAGGAACAUGUGGUUUAAUUCGAUGAUACGCGAGGAACCUUACCCGGGCUUGAAUUGCAGAGGAAGGAUUUGGAGACAAUGACGCCCUUCGGGGCCUCUGUGAAGGUGCUGCAUGGUUGUCGUCAGCUCGUGCCGUGAGGUGUCGGCUUAAGUGCCAUAACGAGCGCAACCCCUCUCCUUAGUUGCCAUCAGGUCAAGCUGGGCACUCUGGGGACACUGCCACCGUAAGGUGUGAGGAAGGUGGGGAUGA
rnacentral:rRNA from 1 species